AUGCCCUCUCCCCGCCAUUGGAGGCUGAGCCCCCUGGGGGCCUCGUGCCCGGGGGGUGGGGGUGGACACAGCUGUCAGUCGGUACUCUUGGGGUGGAGAGUGGCCUGGGCACCGCAGGGAGGCCCAGCCUCCCUCCCCGGCCCCCAGGGAGACCCAGCGCCAUGCCCACCUCCUCUGGGAGCUGGAGAGGGUUGUCUCCCUACUCCGUGCCUCGUCCAUGCAGGUUUGGGAGGAGCCAGCAUUGAGACCCUGUCAUGCACUCUUGCCUGGAGUCUACUGGUCCAGCCUAUGGGCACUGGGCUGGGAGUCAGGUGCCUGCAGCCCCAUCCUGGUUCCAGAGGAUGGCCCCCUUCACCCUCUUAUUGA
rnacentral:lncRNA from 1 species